rnacentral:rRNA from 1 species
UACGAAGGGGGCAAGCGUUGUUCGGAAUUACUGGGCGUAAAGGGCGCGUAGGCGGCCCGCUAAGUCGAACGUGAAAUCCCCGAGCUCAACUCGGGAACUGCGUCCGAUACUGGCGGGCUUGAAUCCGGGAGAGGGAUGCGGAAUUCCAGGUGUAGCGGUGAAAUGCGUAGAUAUCUGGAGGAACACCGGUGGCGAAGGCGGCAUCCUGGACCGGCAUUGACGCUGAGGCGCGAAAGCUAGGGGAGCAAACGGG